CUCUAGGUGUCUGGCGCUGUCCGUUGCUGAUCUUAUUCGUAACUCUGCGACGCUAUGCCAAUACGAUCUUGACCGAUGGCUUAUAUACCGAUCUUGGCCAACUUCUCCCACCAGUGAAAGGAUGAUGCACAAAGAUCGCUGUCGGGAAAGUCCAAGAAGACGAAUGAUAAGAGGAUGGUCGAAGAAGCUGAAGUAAGAAAAGACGAGGGAAGAAGAAUGUCUCCUUUUUCAUGAGGAUCGAAUAGUAAAAUGGAAGAACGGUGUUAAAACCAUCGCGAAUCUUGCUAUGGGCUUCAACCUUGUCUGGACAAAGAUGGCUGCGCACCGAGUAAACAGCUGAUCGUUUCGGCGGAAUUACGAGAAUAUCAAGGCCCGUAAAAAUGCAAGCUGUCAGAAUUUUAUUGAUUCACAUUAAUUUCGUACAGAGUAAAAAAUUUAUGAGAAAAACAAAUAUUAAUGGUUAAGUAUGAACCAUUCAUGUUUCUCGGAUUCGGACAGUGAAAUUGACAUUCAAGAUAACGAUUCAAAUAUGUACAGAUAAUAACAUAUCCUUUGCUCAGUCUUACUAGUAAUAUAGAUCAAAUCGAUUCACAGUUACAAACCUUUGUGCAUGAGUUGAACAACAAGCUCGACGAGAGACCGAGAUUAUGAUACUCAAGGCGACUGGCUGUAUCUCAGAUAUCUGACAUCUCCUUUGUACGCAAAUCUGUAUGCGAAGACGAAUAAAUACAUGAGUUAUGAUAGCUGUAUGUAAAACGUACAUUCUCGUUAGUCAGCCUACUGCAUAAAA